AGGGUAAACGCUGUGGAUUUGAAGAAGUAUGUGAAAUCAGGACAGCUCCGUGUUUCUUCCCACCAUGUCCUAAUGUGACCUACUGUGCCCCAACAUGGGGAUCUGCAAACAAGGGUGGUUCUUGUCCAGCAGUAGACUUCAUCGGUUUUGGAACAAUUCAGUGCUUUGGAGAUUUCGGAUGUGGUAUAAGCAACAACGAUGUGUGCUGUCAUAAUCGUUAUACAAAAACCUCGUACUGCCACACACCAUAUACAUUUUAAUAAAAAUAAACAUCAUAUGUACUAUA